UACCUAAAGGGUCCUGUCCUAGUUGA
rnacentral:piRNA from 1 species